GAAGUCGGCUGGACAGUCGCGUCAUCCGAGAGGAUGCCGAGGAAAGUCCGGGCUCCAUAGGGCAAGGUGCCAGGUAACACCUGGGCGGCGUGAGUCGACGGAAAGUGCAACAGAAAGAUACCGCCAAUAUUCCUUUCUAGGAUUCGGUAAGGGUGAAAUGGUGCGGUAAGAGCGCACCGCGAGUUCGGUAACGGACCGGCACGGCAAACCCCACCUGGAGCAAGACCAAAUAGGGAUCCUAUGGUGUGGCUCGCGCUGGAUCCGGGUAGGUUGCUUGAGCACCGUGGUGACGCGGUGCCUAGAUGAAUGGCUGUUCAUGACAGAACCCGGCUUAUAGGCCGACUUCACCG
rnacentral:RNase_P_RNA from 15 species